rnacentral:rRNA from 1 species
CCUACGGGAGGCUGCAGUGAGGAAUAUUGGUCAAUGGACGCAAGUCUGAACCAGCCAUGCCGCGUGCAGGAAGACGGCUCUCUGAGUUGUAAACUGCUUUUGUACGCAGGUAACAGCAGAUACGCGUAUCUGUCUGAAAGUAUCGUACGAAUAAGGCUCGGCUAACUCCAUGCCAUCAGCCGCGGUCAUACGGAGGAUUCAAGCGUUAUCCGGAUUUAUUGGGUUUAAGGGGUGCGUAGGCGGUCGUAUAAGUUAGAGGUGAAAUCCCGAGGCUCAACUUCGGAAUUGCCUCUGAUACUGUUCGGCUAGAGAGUAGUUGCGGUAGGCGGAAUGUAUGGUGGAGCGGUGAAAUGCUUAGAGAUCAUACAGAACACCGAGUGCGAAGGCAGCUUACCAAGCUACUUCUGACGUUGAGGCACGAAAGCGUGGGGAGCAAACAGGAUUAGAUACCCUUGUAGUC